GCUUAACACAUGCAAGUCGAGGGGCAGCAUGGUCUUAGCUUGCUAAGGCCGAUGGCGACCGGCGCACGGGUGAGUAACACGUAUCCAACCUGCCGUCUACUCUUGGACAGCCUUCUGAAAGGAAGAUUAAUACAAGAUGGCAUCAUGAGUCCGCAUGUUCACAUGAUUAAAGGUAUUCCGGUAGACGAUGGGGAUGCGUUCCAUUAGAUAGUAGGCGGGGUAACGGCCCACCUAGUCUUCGAUGGAUAGGGGUUCUGAGAGGAAGGUCCCCCACAUUGGAACUGAGACACGGUCCAAACUCCUACGGGAGGCAGCAGUGAGGAAUAUUGGUCAAUGGGCGAGAGCCUGAACCAGCCAAGUAGCGUGAAGGAUGACUGCCCUAUGGGUUGUAAACUUCUUUUAUAAAGGAAUAAAGUCGGGUAUGGAUACCCGUUUGCAUGUACUUUAUGAAUAAGGAUCGGCUAACUCCGUGCCAGCAGCCGCGGUAGUACGGAGGAUCCGAGCGUUAUCCGGAUUUAUUGGGUUUAAAGGGAGCGUAGAUGGAUGUUUAAGUCAGUUGUGAAAGUUUGCGGCUCAACCGUAAAAUUGCAGUUGAUACUGGAUAUCUUGAGUGCAGUUGAGGCAGGCGGAAUUCGUGGUGUAGCGGUGAAAUGCUUAGAUAUCACGAAGAACUCCGAUUGCGAAGGCAGCCUGCUAAGCUGCAACUGACAUUGAGGCUCGAAAGUGUGGGUAUCAAACAGGAUUAGAUACCCUGGUAGUCCACACGGUAAACGAUGAAUACUCGCUGUUUGCGAUAUACAGCAAGCGGCCAAGCGAAAGCGUUAAGUAUUCCACCUGGGGAGUACGCCGGCAACGGUGAAACUCAAAGGAAUUGACGGGGGCCCGCACAAGCGGAGGAACAUGUGGUUUAAUUCGAUGAUACGCGAGGAACCUUACCCGGGCUUAAAUUGCAGAUGAAUUACGGUGAAAGCCGUAAGCCGCAAGGCAUCUGUGAAGGUGCUGCAUGGUUGUCGUCAGCUCGUGCCGUGAGGUGUCGGCUUAAGUGCCAUAACGAGCGCAACCCUUGUUGUCAGUUACUAACAGGUUCCGCUGAGGACUCUGACAAGACUGCCAUCGUAAGAUGUGAGGAAGGUGGGGAUGACGUCAAAUCAGCACGGCCCUUACGUCCGGGGCUACACACGUGUUACAAUGGGGGGUACAGAGGGCCGCUACCACGCGAGUGGAUGCCAAUCCCCAAAACCUCUCUCAGUUCGGACUGGAGUCUGCAACCCGACUCCACGAAGCUGGAUUCGCUAGUAAUCGCGCAUCAGCCACGGCGCGGUGAAUACGUUCCCGGGCCUUGUACACACCGCCCGUCAAGCCAUGGGAGCCGGGGGUACCUGAAGUGCGUAACCGCGAGGAGCGCCCUAGGGUAAAACUGGUGACUGGGGCUAAGUCGU
rnacentral:rRNA from 1 species